rnacentral:tRNA from 1 species
GGGGAUGUAGCUCAAUUGGUUAGAGCGCCGCCCUGUCACGGCGGAGGUUGCGGGUUCGAGUCCCGUCAUCCUCG